AAUAGAUACCCUGGUAGUCCUAGCCGUAAACGAUACUCGCUAGGUGUCGGCCACGGUGCGACCGUUGUCGGUGCCGUAGGGAAGCCGUGAAGCGAGCCACCUGGGAAGUACGGCCGCAAGGCUGAAACUUAAAGGAAUUGGCGGGGGAGCACCACAACGGGUGGAGCUUGCGGUUUAAUUGGAUUCAACGCCGGAAAUCUUACCGGGACCGACAGCAAUAUGAAGGCCAGGCUGAAGACUUUGCCGGAUUAGCUGAGAGGUGGUGCAUGGCCGUCGUCAGUUCGUACUGUGAAGCAUCCUGUUAAGUCAGGCAACGAGCGAGACCCACGCCCACAGUUGCCAGCGUACUCUCUGGAGUGACGGGUACACUGUGGGGACCGCCGCUGCUAAAGCGGAGGAAGGAAUGGGCAACGGUAGGUCAGUAUGCCCCGAAUAUCCCGGGCUACACGCGAGCUACAAUGGUUGGUACAAUGGGUAUCUACCCCGGAAAGGGGACGGGAAUCUCCUAAAACCAUCUUAGUUCGGAUUGAGGGCUGCAACUCGCCCUCA
rnacentral:rRNA from 1 species